rnacentral:rRNA from 1 species
GAUGAACGCUGGCGGCGUGCCUAAUACAUGCAAGUCGAGCGAACGGACGAGAAGCUUGCUUCUCUGAUGUUAGCGGCGGACGGGUGAGUAACACGUGGAUAACCUACCUAUAAGACUGGGAUAACUUCGGGAAACCGUAGCUAAUACCGGAUAAUAUUUUGAACCGCAUGGUUCAAAAGUGAAAGACGGUCUUGCUGCCACUUAUAGAUGGAUCCGCGCUGCAUUAGCUAGUUGGUAAGGUAACGGCUUACCAAGGCAACGAUGCAUAGCCGACCUGAGAGGGUGAUCGGCCACACGGGAACUGAGACACGGUCCAGACUCCUACGGGAGGCAGCAGUAGGGAAUCUUCCGCAAUGGGCGAAAGCCUGACGGAGCAACGCCGCGUGAGUGAUGAAGGUCUUCGGAUCGUAAAACUCUGUUAUUAGGGAAGAACAUAUGUGUAAGUAACUGUGCACAGCUUGACGGUACCUAAUCAGAAAGCCACGGCUAACUACGUG